GAUGAACGCUAGCUACAGGCUUAACACAUGCAAGUCGAGGGGCGGCACAGUGUAGCAAUACAUGGGUGGCGACCGGCGCACGGGUGCGUAACGCGUAUCCAACCUUCCCGUUACUCUUGGAUAGCCUUCCGAAAGGGAGAUUAAUACAGGAUGGUGUUCAAAUUCCGCAUGUUAUUUGAACUAAAGAUUUAUCGGUAACGGAUGGGGAUGCGUGACAUUAGAUAGUAGGCGGGGUAACGGCCCACCUAGUCUACGAUGUCUAGGGGGUUCUGAGGAGGAAGGUCCCCCCACACUGGAACUGAGACACGGUCCAGACUCCUACGGGAGGCAGCAGUGAGGAAUAUUGGUCAAUGGUCGGAAGACUGAACCAGCCAAGUAGCGUGAAGGAUGAAGGUUCUAUGGAUUGUAAACUUCUUUUAUACGGGAAUAAAACCACCUACGUGUAGGUGCUUGUAUGUACCGUAUGAAUAAGCAUCGGCUAACUCCGUG
rnacentral:rRNA from 1 species